UCAAACAAAGCAAGCGUUAGGGCAAAGAACAAAGGCAAAUCACUGAAGCCUAUAUUACAGGUACAGCCGGCCUGGCGUGGUGCCAGGUCACGUGAUGUCUGGCAGGAAGCGGCCGUUGCUAUGGGAACAGCCGAUGUGCGACGUUACUUUUUCCAACAGAAAGAGGGGAGAUUUAGGAAAAGUUGGAAGCCGUAAAAGGUUUCACGGAAUCCAAGUGUAAUUAACAAUUUUUGGAACGCUGCACGUGUCUUCAGUCCACAUUUUCUUAGAACCAGAGAAGGUUUGUUCGAUUCUGUCGGCCCAACUGUAUCAAUAAUAUUGAAUAAUAUUAUAAUUUUAUUAUUAUAAACACUUUUAAUAUGACACAUUCGACCUUUUUGCAAUGCAAAAAUUAAAAACACUUGUGACAUUUGCAAAACCAAACUAAUAUGACAUAUUGGAUACUUUGAAAUUGUUCAAGUGUCAUAAUAUUCAAGGCAAAUGAGCGAAUGUACUUGUUCGAUACUUUGACAAUGUCCAAUGUAAAAAAUCCUUCACAUUCAAUACAUCGUCAAAGGUUUUUCCAGCGUUCCUAAUGAAGCUAGAGAUUCGACGAUUUGCCAUAAGACAUGCCGUGCCCAAUGCAAUAUCAUUGCGUCGAAUCUGAAAAAUUGAAUUUUUCACAUUCGAUAGUUUGCAGUUGUAGGGACGAUAUAACUCCACCCUAAGCAGGGACUGAUUUUGGCGAAUAUAGUUCAGCCAAUUGCCCUCUGUUUUAACAUAGGCAUCAACAACAUAUUGCUGAAAUAGUCUCCUGCCAUAGUGAAUGGGCGAAAAGCCAGGUCUGAUGGCCAACCUAUAACUAUAGAACUGAAGCAUGGUAACAUGGUUUCUAGUUCUUGUGCGCAUGUUUUCUUCCUAUUGUCCAACCAGGAUCACCGGCAGGAAAUAAAAGAGGGUAUGUCAUUGGGUCACAGUUAGGAUUAAGUGGAGAAAUACGCACAAAACCACGAUCAUGCGGAAAAACAGCAAUAUCUCUUAGAAGGUACAUGGCCAUCUUGAUCAACAAAAAUGGCCGCAACUUCACUUACACUUGGCGCAUUAUAUCGGCGAAGAUCUCUACAAUGAUUAUGCCGGAUGAGCAUCUGAACCUGACACAUUUGCCGGUUCUCAAUGCGAGCCCGGUGUUCCUCAGCUAGUUCCACCUGGUGCAUCUGCCUGUAAGCAGAAGUAUACGGAUUCACACGCCUAAGCACAGAAUCCAAAAGAGUCAAUAUACCAGGAUGGCAUUCCAAAGGCCUAGAUGCUGCAAUGCGUAUAUUAUUCGCAGCCUCAGAAUCCAAAAUAUAAAGUUGGGCAUAAGACGGGGCUCUGUUUUCAUGAGGAUGAAGGGGCCCAGUCAAAUGAUAGAUCUGUCCAUGGAUUCUAUAACAAAAAGGCCCCUGUCCAGAAAAGACAUCAACCUGCGCACCCAUGGAGGCAAAUGCCAAAGAGCUGUUGUAGCUCCGAAUGUUGGUCUGGAAGUACUUAGCCUCCACACUGUUUGAAGUCAUCAAUUCCAUCAUUUCAUAUGGAAAGGAGGACAAAGUAGGAAGAAUAACUUUCCCUUUGUGGCAGCAGGAGCUACCAACAGUUUCGCCAGGGAAAUGAAGGGCUGAGCAGUAAGGGCAGACUAUAUCGAGGCCCCCAAUAAUAUAUUCAGUGGGAACAGGAGAAAUAGGAUUAGGGGCGUUGUUCCUGUGGCGAGUCAUAUAAGCGCGCCUAGCUGACUGGAGAGUGAGUCUUCCACGGCCUCUGCGAGGCAUGAUACAGAAGCCGCUGAAAAAAAAAAAGCUAAACUAAAAACCAAGUAGAGCAAAUACAUGCCAAACACAGCAAAUACAGCCUAACCUAAAUAAAAAAAUAUGGGAGCUAAAAAUGAAAAAUAAAUCUAGAUUGAAAACUUAACAAACAACUAUAUAAAUUAUAAUAAAGUUGCAAAGAAUUCAUAAGCCUAUUGAAAAAAAAAACAGAUGCCAUAAAGACAUUGCUGUAAAGGGGAAAAAACUUAUACUUACAAAAUAUAAUUAUAAAGAUACAAAACAAAAAUAAUUAUAAAGAAAUAUAAAAGAAAUAAAUGCUAGAAUAAAAAGAACGCGCUUUCAAAACAAAGGAAUUGAUGAUGAUAAAAGCAAAUAAAUGCAAAAUGCAAAAAAAUCUACGAUUGUAAAAUAGAUUAAAUUAAAAAAUAAAAAUAACUGUUAACAUUAGGAAAAUAAAAACAGAACUAACAUACGAAGAAAAAAAUAACGAAAAUUUUGGUAUAUAGAUCGUUAUGUGUAGUUCAGAAUCUUCGGAGAAGAUAGCUAAGGACUUUACAAUGGAAAACUCUGUUACGGUAUUAUCUAUAUAGAUAUAUGAAAAUAUAAAGAGACUCAGUAAACAAAACUUAUUGUUUAUUUAUUUUAAAAAAAUAUAUGUUGAAUAGAAUGACUGCCAGAUGAUGAUAAAUUAAUUGGCUUUGCCAAACUAAAGAUUAAUAUAUAACACAUGUCCCUUUAACAAUCAAAGAUUCAAUCUGAGUGGUGGUCGAACUACCCUACCAGAUCUAGUGGUGAUCAGGUUCUUUGAGGAUCCGGUGGUCAAGUUCUUUGGGGAUCCGGUGGUCAAGUUCUUUGAGGAUCCGGUGGUCAAGUUCUUUGGGGAUCCAGUGGGCCAGUUCCUUGGGGAUCCAAUGGUCCAGUUCUUUGGGGAUCCGGUGGUCAAGUUCUUUGGGGAUCCGAUGGUCAAGUUCUUUGGGGAUCCGGUGGUCAAGUUCUUUGGGGAUCCGGUGGUCAAGUUCUUUGAGGAUCCGGUGGUCAAGUUCUUUGGGGAUCCGGUGGUCAAGUUCUUGGGGAUCCAGUGGGCCAGUUCCUUGGGGAUCCGGUGGUCCAGUUCUUUGGGGAUCCAAUGGUCAAGUUCUUUGGGGAUCCGGUGGUCAAGUUCUUUGGGGAUCCAGUGGUCAAGUUCUUUGGGGAUCCGGUGGUCAAGUUCUUUGGGGAUCCGGUGGUCAAGUUCUUUGGGGAUCCGGUGGUCAAGUUCUUUGGGGAUCCAGUGGUCCAGUUCUUUGGGGAUCCGGUGGUCAAGUUCUUUGGGGAUCCGGUGGUCAAGUUCUUUGGGGAUCCGGUGGUCAAGUUCUUUGAAGAUCCGGUGGGCCAGUUCCUUGGGGAUCCUUUGGUCCAGUUCUUUGGGGAUCCAGUGGUACAGUUCUUUGGGGAUCCGGUGGUCAAGUUCUUUGGGGAUCCGGUGGUCAAGUUCUUUGGGGAUCCGGUGGGCCAGUUCCUUGGGGAUCCAGUGGUCCAGUUCUUUGGGGAUCCGGUGGUCCAGUUCUUUGGGGAUCCGGUGGUCAAGUUCUUUGAGGAUCCGGUGGUCAAGUUCUUUGGGGAUCCGGUGGGCCAGUUCCUUGGGGAUCCAGUGGUUCAGUUCUUUGGGGAUCCGGUGGUCCAGUUCUUUGGGGAUCCGGUGGUCAAGUUCUUUGAGGAUCCGGUGGUCAAGUUCUUUGGGGAUCCGGUGGUCAAGUUCUUUGAAGAUCCGGUGGGCCAGUUCCUUGGGGAUCCUUUGGUCCAGUUCUUUGGGGAUCCAGUGGUCCAGUUCUUUGGGGAUCCGGUGGUCAAGUUCUUUGGGGAUCCGGUGAUCCAGUUCUUUGGGGAUCCGGUGGUCAAGUUCUUUGGGGAUCCGGUGGUCAAGUUCUUUGGGGAUCUGGUGAUCAAGUUCUUUGGGGAUCCGGUGAUCCAGUUCUUUGGGGAUCCGGUGGUCAAGAUCUUUGGGGAUCUGGUGGUCAAGUUCUUUGGGGAUCCGGUGGUCAAGUUCUUUGGGGAUCCGGUGGUCCAGUUCUUUGGGGAUCCGGUGGUCAAGUUCUUUGGGGAUCCGGUGAUCAAGUUCUUUGGGGAUCCGGUGAUCAAGUUCUUUGGGGAUCAGGUGGUCAAGUUCUUUGGAGAUCCGGUGGUCAAGCUCUUUGUGGAUCCAAUGGGCCAGUUCCUUGGGGAUCCAGUGGGCCAGUUCUUUGGAGAUCCAGUGGGCCAGUUCUUUGGAGAUCCGGUGGUCAAGUUCCUUGGAGAUCCGGUGGUCAAGUUCUUUGGGGAUCCAGUGGGCCAGUUCCUUGGAGAUCCAGUGGUCUAGUUCUUUGGGGAUCCGGUGGUCAAGUUCUUUGGGGAUCCAGUGGUCAAGUUCUUUGGGGAUCCAGUGGGCCAGUUCCUUGGGGAUCCGGAAAAAGAGAUUUGUCCAGAAGAUGGAGAGGGAAGCUGUGUAGACUCUUGUGAUGUGAAAUCUUCCAGGUCUUGAAAAUUAGCUAGUUCCUGGCUCAGUUUUUUUUAAAGGUUUCUCCCAGUCUGUGUGAGCAGUUUCAUUUUGUUUAUCCUUGCGAAUGUGAAUUCUAUUCCUUCUAUAUUAAUUACCUUCUUGAUAUUUCACGUAAAAGGAUCGGGGUUCAUGGGCUUGGUUUGUUAUCUGGCCUAGGAUCCAUCUUUUAUCCUUUUGAAACCAAACUAAAAUAUGAAAAUAUAGAGUAUAUUCUAUUUACAGACAUGUUUUGGCAUACACAGGGCGUGCAUUCCUUUCAUGUAGCCAGAGUAGAGAGUUUGCGAUCUUUUUCUCUGUUCUUUGGUGCUGCAGACUACACAUUGUCUCUCUUGAUUCUCUGGAAGCUUUUGGAGCCUUGGUGAGCUUGUAGAUGUUAUUGGGGCGUUGAUAAGGGGCUCUACAAGGGAAUCAAAUACUGAAAGGUUGAAUGCUUCCCUUUCCAGAAGUUUUUCAUCCUUGGAGUGCUCACAAUAUAUGAUGUAGGCAUUCAGAAGAGCUCGAUGUGAAAGGUUCACAACCACCUUUCUAUAAAAUUUCCUUUCAUCCAUAUGCACUUAGAGCAUCAUGUCUACACCUCCCAUGUCAUACACUAUCCUGGGGAUAUACUCUCUCCUGCCUGUCCCUAUCCAUGGUUUCAGCAUCACAGUCGGAUAGGCUCUUUGUUUCUUUCACUAAAUUGAAAUCUUCAAAUAAGAAUAGAAAAAUAUAACGAUGAUUGAAGUGUCUUAUAAGACGUAUUUUAAAGAUAUCUGGUGGUUGAGGAUCUUGAUGGAAGAUUCUACAUUAGAUAAGAUUAACGGGAUGUUUAACUUGGCAGGAACCCUGUACUUCAGACCCAAUGAAAGGAGGUUCUUUUUCCGUUAGGAAUAAUUCUGCCGAGGAGAGAUUUAUUAGGUUAAAAGAUAUAUGAUUCUUAUAAGACACUCCUUUUCAAUUGUAGUUAUAUUUUUCUUUGCUUCUUUGUAUGCUAUAGCUAGCUGGCAAUCUUUUUGCAUAUAUAACACUCAUUUAGACCUGCCUUUGCUAAUGUCUUGCAAAAUCCAGAUCUAUUUGCUCUGAUUGUACCGGUCAAGUAGGUCUGGUUAUGGAAAAAAUCCUCAGCGAGCUUGGAACUGGUAAAAAAUUGUCCAAUUCAAGGUGGUGCUCUUUCCCUAAAAGAUUGGCCUUUCUCAUAAGUUCCAUUGGAGCAUCAUAUGAAAGGCUUACUUGUAUUGGGGACAAUUUGCCUUUAUAAGGAGUCAGUUUGAGGCAAUAGUCAGUGUCUGAUUCGCACAACAUCCAGAGCUUCACCCCAAAUUAUCCAUGGUGCUUUUGCGGCAUAUAUUGCCUUGGCCUUAUGCGAUUUUUCAGAAAAACUAGGCUUCUCAUCAACAGAGAGAUGUUGUUUAGGCUUAUAGUAAUGAAUAAAUUUGAAAUUUAAAAAAUUGAUUAGGUCCAUGAAUCUUUUGGUUUGGUCAUAGGCUGGAUCUGAACUAGGGAGAAUAUGUGCUGGAUCAACAGCACUGAAAAAGCUGGGAAAAAUGGAAAGUAAACACUCACCCAAGGUGAAAAAACGAAUUCUUCAUCAGAAUUUACUGAUUCUUGCUCCCGUGUCUAUUAAAAAGGGCAAAUUUACAUUUGGUGACAGUUCAGUCCAUAUUAUUAGCUGUUCAACGAAAAAAGGUUGAAGGUUUUCCUACCGUUGAGCUGCUCGCGGGGCUUGUAGAGUCGUCUUGGCUUGCAGCUUGGACUUGGGGAACAUGGCUCGGAGAUUGGACCUUGGGCCGGGUAUCAGAUUUUGGUAUAGUGGUUGUGCGUGGUCUGGCGCUGUAGACUUGGCGUGUUCGGUCCUGUGGGAACCGUUGUUCACACUGGGAGUGCCAGUGCAUAGCAUUGCAAUACUUGCAAGGCGAGGGUGGGGGUGCAACUUGGUACGUUACAUGUGAUGACCACUGGUUGUUGUACCGCGUUGGUGGGUUGUGGUAGGUUGGGUGUGGAGCCUUGUCUACUUGGCGCUGGUACACUGCACUGGUGGCACACUGAGUUCCUCUUAUUCUUGACACUAGGUCGAACCAUUCUUUAAUGGUGUUUGGUUGUACCAUUGCGAUUAAUCGCUGGUCUGUGACGGGCAGUCCGUCGGUCAGAGACUAUUAUUAUGUCGGCGGGUAGGUUGAGUUUCAUGCCCAUAACCGUUUUGUUUUGGUAGUAGUCUUCUAGGGGCAUUUGGGGUGUCAAUUUGAUAGCCAAAAAGCGUGCAAAUGACGCUUCUGUCAUUGCUGGGAAUAAGUCUAUCAGUGUCUGGCUGGCAUCAUUAUAAAAUAACCUAUCUAACUGUAGGCUUCGGAAAUAUUGGAGUGGCUUACCUUGCAGGUAGCAGGGUAACUUGCGUAGGCGGUCCGUGUAGGUCAGCUCAGCUCGGUCUGCUUGGGCAUCGAAGUUGUCGAAAAAGCUCUGGGCUUCAAAGGUACCAUCGUAUGGACUCACGUCUAUCUCCCUCGGAGAUCGGGCGAUCAGCAGCUUACUCAGGGCAUCGGCGAUCUGUGUCAGCGGGUCUGCGGAGGUACCUUGGGGCUGCGACGUUUCCUCCUCUUCAAAUCUCGUCUCUUGUUUGGGGACAGAUUACUCGGCCGUAUCGUUGGACUGGUCGGUUUGUUCUUCCAUCUUGGCUCUUUCUCUCUUUUCUAUCUGGACAGUCUUCUUACCUUAUUCGCUGUGGUGUCCUUCGUUUGGGUUAUCCUGUCGACUCUCGCUAUAAGCUGUGGUAACCAAGGGUCAAACCUGUAGUAACCGAGAGGGACAGUCAGGGCGUGGAGAGUUUUCCAGUACCUCUCUGCACCUUGUAGGACCUUUAACAGUUCUCACAGAGUACAGGCAGUCGUGGUCGAGGCAGAGUGGAAAGCUUGGGAAUGUCCACACACAAAAAAAACGAAGAGACACACUCGUAGUAGGAAAGUUCCAUGAACAGAUAAAAGGCGAGCUAAGAGCAAGAUGGAGUUAGAAGAGAUCUUACUGAUUUACAUGGCGAUGAGUGGUCCUGGUUAAGACCGACAAGGGCUGGCUCAAGUGAAGUGACUGUAUUGUUUGGCUAAAAUGGGGAGGUUUUAUCCUCGACAAAAGAAGUAUCGCAUUACAGUACAUGCGAGAGGGCGUGGAUUGUCUGGCGAAACUGGACACUGGCCGUCCUGACAGCUUCCAAUCUAUCUUUAGAAGUUGCUUUGUGUUUGACUUCUAUCUCUCUAGCUCAACUCUUAAUCUAUUACAGAGUUUUAUUUAUUAUUCUCAGUUUGUACAAGUUAUAUUACAUAUGAUGAUGUAAUGACACAUGUCAAUCAUGCAUAUAACCAUUUACAGAUGUUUCUACUAUACAACAUGAAAAUCUUGUUAUAAGUUAUAUACAAUAUGGGGUUGUUGGUGUAAAUAGUCUUGUACUUCAGGGAUGAAAAGGUAAUUGGAUUUGGUUUCCACUCUGGUGAGGAGAUUAUUGACAUUCCAGAAGAAUACCAGUCACCAGAGCAUCAUGAAAGGAGUGCAGGCUCUUGUAUAUCAUUGCAUCUGGUUCCUUGUUCUGUAGAUCUGCCGACUUUUCCUCGAUCUUGAAAAGAGUGGUGAUCACUUUUAGUUGGUAGGCGUUGUUCAUUUUUAGAUUCAAAACAUGACGCCAGGAUACGCCCGGAGUUCCUAGCGUCGCUUCGAAGUUUUUUGAAUCCCCAGGUCCUACAGUUCCCCCAAUGACAGAGAGUCCUCCUCCAGACAGUAAGGGGGUUUUCAUGUUCUCCCCUCAUCUCAAGGCUCAGAAAGAACCUGUGUAUGGAUGACUUGGCAGACGCGAGGAUGGCGAGGGCGUCGUCAUCCAGCCCUUGACCGAAGAGUCAGCCCUGCAGGUCGGGUGGUUGCUGUAUGAUGUUGUCAACGUCAGGUCACUAGAGCCACAGGCGAUACAGGUCUCUCGAGCAGAGGUCGGAUGUGCAGGAUGGGGAAGAGCGUACAGGGCCAGCUUUACUGCAAUGUCGGCAUUGUGCCCUGAAAAGGCCCAACGUCGAAGUGAUGGCCAGCCGACGGUGAGAGGAAUGUUGACAAAGUCUUGCCAACGGUACAGAAGCUGGGCGAUAGGCAGGGUUGCCAGGCGUGUUCGCUAAAGUGUACGGCGGAUGGUGCGGGUAGUUAGGCGCAUGAACGGAGUCACCGUCCCGCGCAACACCACAGCUUCGCCUAGGUUGUCCGCCCGGUGGGACCCUAGGAGGUUUUCUUCAAACAGCCUAUUGCAGAAGUUGGCCAACGCUGUGGAAUCUGCAAGAGCGCAACGGGUCGGACGAGUGAGCGGUGACACAGGGCCAUCGAAGUCCCCGAUACGUGCUCCUAUCCACCGUGCAGCGGCUAGGGGGUCAGGUGGCCGGUGGAACCUGCAUCCUCCGAUUAUGGCGAGGUCCCUCAGCUGUUGUGUUGAACUAUCCAGUGGUCCAGUGCUAGGAAGUCUGAAACUGCUUCCCAUAUCUUCAUGAGUCUACGACGUCGAGUUGGAAGCCAUGUCCCAGAUGGAAGGGGAGUUAACCAGGCCCCACUAUCAGUGAGCCAAGAGUAGGCGUUGAGACUUCCACAAAGCAAAGCUUGGACACCUUUCAUACACGCCAGUCUCAGCUGUGUACCGACGUCGAGGAGGCCAAAGUCACCCAUGGAGACAGGACGUGCUAGAAUAUAUUGAGAAUAAUAAUUAAGCCCAAAAUUUUUCUUUGGUGUGGUAAAUCUUGAAGCAGUCAACUAGACAAAGUGGGACCAAACAAGUCUCACACAUAUAUGCAGUAUCCUUCCUUGCUCUAUUCCCUUUUGUUCUUUUUCCUUUUUCGGAACAGACUUUACAUUUUCUCUGAAUAUAUGUGCCUUCUUUCCCUUCCACUUUGAUUCUGGUUAUGAAAUGCUUCCCCAAAAGCCUAUCUGGAGAGCCAGAAGCACCUUGCUGCUCAUCAGACAUUUCAACACCUGCCUCUUUAACUAACUUUCUAAAAUUCUCAAAUUGAAUUCUCUUAGAUUCAAUUUCCUGUCCUGGUUCAAUUUAUUGUAAAUAAUUUGUGAAUUCACGAUACCAAGGUUGAAAAGGUGGAAAAAUACCUUUUCCCACCACUUCAUUGUCCUACGAUAGAAAGGGUAAUAGGACAUGUAUUGAUCACUUCGAUCAACACCAGCUUUAUUUUUGUUGUAAUCAACAACCACUGCUGGUUUCUUUGUUAGCUCUGGUUCUGGAGUUCUUUUAGAUCUUUUAGGUGCCUGAAUCAUUUCUGCCUCUUGAUUUGUAGAGAGCAAAAAUACCUCUCUGGUGUCCCGCCAUUUCAUUGCAAGAAGGGGUCCUUUUUGUCGAAUGAUGGCUUCACCUUUUUUUUUAGUUUUUUUGAAAAAGCCUUUUUUGGCAAGCCUUUUCUAUUUUGCAUUACUGUACCAACAGCAAUAGUUUUCUUGCUCCAUAAGUGUUCAAACAGUAAGCCCAACAUCCAAUUGUAUUGGACCAGUUUCUCCCCCUGGAAACCGUAGUGACACUUGUGCUGUCAUCAUGACUUCUAAUCCAUAAUUAGGGGCCUUAUAGUUUCCAAUGACCUGAGCUUGGUCGGUAGCUAUGUUGGCGUAGGCGACUAGGAGAGCACAGAGCCGAGAGUGUCCGGCAUUCUUGUUCUUGUCGAUACCGAGCCAAAGCUUACCCACAUCGAAGGCGCUUGGGGUAUAGGUCAAUGUAAAAGACUGUCCAUAUCUUCUCUCAACUGAGCCUGGAGUGUUCAGGACAUCGUCAUAGUUGUAAGAAGCGAAUUGUAGUUGAUCGGUAAAGCCACUAAUGGUGUACGGGAUGAUAGCCGCACAGACGUGCCCCGAAUAGACGUAGGAGCGUGAUUCAAACUCAACUUUGGCAGUAAGCGAAUGAAGGCGAAACUGUCGAAAGGAGACGAAGGUGGCUGAAACUGGGGGACUAGUGUGCGGGCUAAGGGCUUGCACUAUAUUGGCACUAUCCAUAAGGAUGGUUUCUGGGGCAAUUUCAUACGCAAAGACCGAAGCAAUUGGCAGGAACUGCGCAGGCACCGGGUCAGCAGAAGCCGAAGGGUCUCGUUCGGUAAUAGCUCCGGGUACGAUUCUAGUUAUAAAGAUCUUGCCGAGCAUCACCGCUGCAUAUCCAACAAGGUGGCCGAGAGUGGUUCACCAAUUCCCUGUAGCGUCUGAAGCUUUUACGGAGGCUGGUAGAAAAGGUGCUAGUAAAAAGCGAGAGCGCUCAAGGGAGGAAAUCAUGCCUAAGCGAUGAAGAUCAGGGCAUCCNNNNNNNNNNNNNNNNNNNNNNNNNNNNNNNNNNNNNNNNNNNNNNNNNNNNNNNNNNNNNNNNNNNNNNNNNNNNNNNNNNNNNNNNNNNNNNNNNNNNUUAGGAGGGUACGGCAUGAUGCAAACAGAUUUGUAUGUUUGACUAUUGUUUGUGUUAUUUGGGCUAUAAAAAUGCCAUCGUGUAUCCUCCCUUUUCAUCUAUCCAAACUGGGAACGCAACAAUGUCGCCCGCCGCGGGGCUCGAAUUUAGUAUAUGUUUCAUCCCCUAUACUUUAGAAAUAUAUACCUAAUGAAAAGCCAUACUAUUUUUAAGUAUUGGUGAAGUAGUCCACGCAUCCUGAGAUUAACAGUCUAUUAUAAAUCGAUAAUUUUAAUUUAUGCUUUCCGUUUCACUGGCAUUUUAUCAGGCAAUGAAAGUUAUGUUGAGGCGGUGUAUGCCGCAUCACUCGCCGCGGUCAUUUACGAUUCACAUUGUUUGUGACAAAGCCUUAACAAUUUAUUGAUUACAUUUUUUAUUUUUAUUUUUUUUUAAAUUAUUUUACACAGUAUGAGAAAUGAGGUUGGAUUGCCAUGGUUCAAAUUUAGAACGGUGAUCAGUGUUUUACAGUAGUCUACUGAAAUGACUUAGCAUUUCUUUUCAUCAUAGCUCUGAUAUAAUUUUCUCACAGCAGAGGUGAGUUCUGAUAAUUAUUGCUGGAUACAAAUAUCUUAACUUCAUUUUAAUAGCGCUUUCUAUCAAGUCAUACUAGCCUGUGCAUCCAGAUUAGGGCUAACAUGCUGAAUGAUAGUUAAUCGAUUUUAUUUUUUUUAACGCAUAGUGGAUUGGGAGAGUGGCAAAUAUAUGAGCCUUAAGGUGAAAAUAGAAUUGAAGAUCCAGUUAGCGUACCCGUGAAGAGAGAAGUUUGAUCACCAUAGAAAGACGCACCUUUUUUUUUUCUCUUCGUAAAACCUUUUUAUUUGAAAUCAAUAUAAUGGAUAGAAAUCUGGUUUUAACAUUCCAAUGGCAGAAUCUCAAGGAGUAGAUCUGGUGACCAAUUUGCGCGAGUACCUUUUAAUCACUGUGGAACUAUUUAUUAACUUAUGACAACUACCUGGGAUAAUCUUUUAAAAUAUUCAAAGGAAAGGAGAUGACUGGAGCUUGUGUCUACAAGACAGCUGAGAUAUCCCGAGGUGUGCUUGGACAGUUUUAAGUUGAUGACAAGGCAGCAAAAAAGCCACCUGCGUUAGAGACAGGAUCUAUCUAAUAAUGGGGGUAUAGGAGACAGGAAAGUUUAUCGAGGCUCGAUUUAACACUUAUAUAUAAUGAGGAAGUUAGCGGAAUGCGAGUCUCUAGUGCGGAGUAAUAUCACCUAAAGGCUGUGAAUAAGGAUUGAUAAAGUCGGGACACCCGAGCAAAAAUAUUACAUUGAAUAUAAUUCGGAACCUGUAGGCGUGAGGCGGUAUCGUGAUUGGAUUAGAUGGCUAGCACGCGAGGAGGGUGGCCCCCUUGACGACGUUUUCUGCCAAGUAUGAUAACUGGAUACCGAUAGACCGCUUAAAGGGUGUGCCCCCCGCAUUGGAAAUGUCAUUGAAGAUGUGCCAGCAUGCAGAGAAGAAAGGUCUAGGACGAGAUGACGUUUCCUAAAAUUGACAUUUAAGGUGAUACGCCUGGACUAUAGAUGAGGCAGUGAAGUCCAUCUAGAAUAUGGCGCUAAUUCCAGAACAAAAUGUGGAUGGAUCGAGCUGAGGUGACGACUCCAUAUUAAAUAUACCUCUAUAAAUUCUUAAAUGUCCACAUAUAUUUCCACAGUGAAUUAUACAAGUUGCACACCUAUCUCAUGAGCCAGGAAUGUAAUUAUCAGACUGACAGUAAGAAUUAAUAUAAAAUUUCUAACCCAGGAACAAACAAGACCCCUGAUAUGCAACAAAGUCUACAAAAUAAUUUCCCUAUCAAAUUCUCAGUAUAUCAUCAUAACUCAACAGAAAACCCAGUUACAAUUUGUAUCAUAAAGGGCGAAAUAACUUUGUCCUUUCCCAAUCCAAUGUGCACCUGUUACCACAUAGACAGUGAUCUUAUAACCACAUUUGAUUUCGUUUCAGCAUGUUGUGAGAGAAUUGAACUCAUGGAAAUGCAGCCUUUUAAUUACUAUGCCUCAUACUGUAUAAAUACAAGAAGGAAAUUUCUAAUAACAACCGCUAAGUGACAACCAGAGCGAACUCAGAAGUAAUGAGCCGAGGGGAAAUUGACAGAGUUAGUGUAGACAGUUUAACUUUACGCAGGUCUACAAGAGU
rnacentral:piRNA from 1 species